UACGAAGGGGGCUAGCGUUGCUCGGAAUCACUGGGCGUAAAGCGCACGUAGGCGGCUUCUUAAGUCAGGGGUGAAAUCCUGGAGCUCAACUCCAGAACUGCCUUUGAUACUGGGAGCUCGAGUCCGGGAGAGGUGAGUGGAACUCCGAGUGUAGAGGUGAAAUUCGUAGAUAUUCGGAAGAACACCAGUGGCGAAGGCGGCUCACUGGCCCGGUACUGACGCUGAGGUGGCGAAAGCGUGGGGAGCAAACAGG
rnacentral:rRNA from 1 species